rnacentral:SRP_RNA from 1 species
GUCUGGGUAUGGUGGCUCAUGCUUGUAAUCCCAACUAAUCAGGAGACUGAGGUAGGAGAAUUGCUUGAGCCCAGGAGUUUGAGGCUGCAGUGAGCUAUGAUCGCAUCUCUGAAUAGCCACUGCACUCCAGCCUGGGCAACAUGGUGAGAUUCUGUCUCUA